rnacentral:lncRNA from 1 species
GCCCUACCAACUACAUCCUGCCAACUACAUCACUUUAAUCAAUGUACUACCCACUACUAAUAGUAGUGGGUGUGUAAUACAAAAUACAUUAAAAUAAGGUUGUUCUUCUUGCAGCUUGGUACUAGCUUCAAGUGCUACUAGCUUGGGAACCGAGAUGUUGUGCAGCCAAUAGCCUGGAGGGUGUUCUUCUUGCAGCUUGGUUACUUGAUGCAGCUCCUGCUCCACUGAUUGAUGUUCCAGUUUUUGUUGUUGGAGGUCCUCCUACUUGAGAAGCCCCCCUUCUUGAUGUUCCUCC